AGAGUUUGAUCCUGGCUCAGGGUUAACGCUGGCGGCGUGCCUAACACAUGCAAGUCGAACGGUUCUAAGCGCGAGCUUAGGAUAGUGGCGAACGGGUGAGUAAAAGGUAGGAAUCUACCCCUUGGACGGAGAUAGCUACUGGAAACGGUAGGUAAACUUCGAUAAGCCCGAGAGGGGAAAGUGGUGAGACAGCCGAGGGAUGAGCCUACUCUCCAUCAGGUAGUUGGUGAGAUAAAAGCUUACCAAGCCGAUGACGGAUAACCGGUGUGAGAGCAUGAACGGUCACAAGGGCACUGAGAGACGGGCCCUACUCCUACGGGAGGCAGCAGUGGGGAAUCUUGGACAAUGGGCGAAAGCCUGAUCCAGCGACGCCGCGUGGAGGAAGAAGUCCUUCGGGAUGUAAACUUCUGAACUAGCCGAAUAAAAGGCCUGUGGACACACAGGAGAAGAAAGUAGGCUAGGAAAAGUCCCGGCUAACUACGUGCCAGCAGCCGCGGUAAGACGUAGGGGACAAGCGUUACCCGGAAUUACUGGGCGUAAAGGGGGCGUAGGCGGUAAAAGAAGUCAUCUGUGAAAACCUAUUGCUCAACGAUAGGCUAGCGGAUGAAACUGAAUUACUUGAGGGCACCAGAGGUAGACGGAAUUACCCGAGUAGGGGUGAUAUCCGCAGAUACGGGUAGGAACGCCGGUGGAGAAGUCGGUCUACUGGGGUGCACCAGACGCUGAGGCCCGAAAGCUAGGGGAGCAAACCGGAUUAGAUACCCGGGUAGUCCUAGCCGUAAACGAUGCUCACUAGGUGUAGGGAGUGAUAAACUCUCUGUGCUGAAGCGAACGCGCUAAGUGAGCCGCCUGGGGAGUACGUCCGCAAGGAUGAAACUCAAAUGAAUUGACGG
rnacentral:rRNA from 1 species